rnacentral:lncRNA from 1 species
GUGUAUUGUAUAAUGAUGAUGAAUGAUGUUGGUUUUUGAAAGCUUUUAGUUUUUUAAAAUGUCGAUGUGACGCCCUUUUGUUUAUAUGCGUGCUUCUUUACUCUGAUUAUAUGUUAAGUAUUUUGGGGGUAGAAAAAGGGGUGUUACAGGCCACAUACACUUAAGUGGGCUUUUUAGCUUGCAGCCCAUACUAGUGGUUCUAUAAAUAGAAUCCUUGUGCAGAAGCAUUGGUGUAGUUGUAAUUUCG